rnacentral:rRNA from 1 species
GAUGAACGCUAGCGACAGGCCUAACACAUGCAAGUCGAGGGGCAGCAUAAAGGUAGCAAUACUUUGGUGGCGACCGGCGCACGGGUGAGUAACACGUAUGCAACCUACCUGUAAGAGGGGAAUAACCCGGAGAAAUCCGGACUAAUACCGCAUAAUACUUCGAAUCCGCAUGGAUUUGAAUUUAAACAUUUAUGGCUUACAGAUGGGCAUGCGUAUGAUUAGCUAGUUGGUGAGGUAACGGCUCACCAAGGCAACGAUCAUUAGGGGUUCUGAGAGGAAGGUCCCCCACACUGGUACUGAGACACGGACCAGACUCCUACGGGAGGCAGCAGUGAGGAAUAUUGGUCAAUGGGCGAGAGCCUGAACCAGCCAAGUCGCGUGAAGGAAGAAGGUUCUAUGGAUUGUAAACUUCUUUUGUAAGGGAAUAAAAGUAGUACGUGUACUAUAUUGUAUGUACUUUACGAAUAAGGAUCGGCUAACUCCGUGCCAGCAGCCGCGGUAAAAGUCACG